UUGCCCCAGCUAAGCAGCGAGAGCUUGCUGAAGCCCAGAGGGCUGUAGGACCAUGAAAGCAGCUCUCUGGACCCUGGGACUCGGGCCCCUUCUUCUCAAUCUCUGGGCAGUCCCCAUUGCUCCUUGGGGCUGAGUGGCGGAGGCAGCCCCUGCGCGGGAACCCCCAUGAUCCGGAUAACAGAAGGCUCUGUGAUAAGGUGCAGCUUGCACCAGAAGGAGGCCAGCAUCUUCUGCAGAAGGCUGGGGUGCGGCCCGGCGCUCCAGCAUCCAGGCCCCACCUCACAGGGCACCCAGGCUGGCUGGGCUCGAAAAUCAUUUCCUGCCAGGGAACAGAGUCCAGCAUCUUCAACUGCAGGUUCAACCUGAACUUCCUGGACCUCUGUGACCUCCCAACAGACUCUGAGGUGGUGUGUGCAGGUAGAAAAGGCAGGAGAAGUUCCUGAGGACCCUGGGGAGCCCCUCAACGGAGCUCUGGCACGCGGGCUCCUGGGGCACCGUGUGCGACGAUGGCUGGGACCUGGCAGACGCGGAGGUCGUGUGCCGCCAGCUGGGCUGUGGUCGGGCCGUCGCCGCCCUGGGGGCCGCCGCCUUUGGCCCUGGCUCCGGGCCCGUGUGGCUGGACGAGGUGGGGUGCCGGGGCAGCGAGGCGUCCCUGUGGGGCUGCCCUUCGGAGCGGUGGGGACGCGGAGGCUGCGCGCACAAGGAGGACGCAGGCCUGCGCUGCUGGGAGCCUGGCCCAGGCCCCCCGCUGCCUGCAGCUCCCAUCCGGACAUUGUGGGCGGUCAGUGUCGUCCUGCAGCUCCCAUCCGGACAUUCUGGGCGGUCAGUGUCGUCCUGGGAGCCCUUCUUGGUCUUCUCCUUCUGGGCCUUAUGGCCUUUCUGAUUCUGCCUCGAGUCACACAAGCCAUGCAGAGGGGUCUAGGAAGAUCCGAGGCAUCUCUUGGAGAAGCCAUCUAUGAUGUCAUUGGGGAAAUGCCGCUAGCAGGACUGUACGAGGAAAUCAUGGAGGCCGAGGCCGAGGCCAUGCUCCAAGAUGAGGAGGACGAGGGUGUGGUGAAGGUGGACACAGAAGCCGCAGUUUCAGGGGAGGCGUCUAACCUCCUGGAGGGACAGUCUAUACGUAUGGAGGGAGGACACAGCAGACCUGUUUCUCAGGGAUAUGACGAGGCUGCGUUUCCUCUGGAGGAGAUGAUGUUGUAAAGCACCCUGAGGAUGAGAUACACCAGCUGGCUGUCGAAAUCACAGCUCUUCAUUUUCUUGUACAAUUGUAGUGGAUUUCGUGAGAACACCUUGGAUGCCUUUCUCUUGCAAUGUCCUCCACGUCCAUAUAAAAUCCAGUCCUUCCAGGCCCUGCCUGGUUCUAACCCUCAUCCCCUUCGAGGGCCAUCUGCUGUGGACAGUUGUGCUGUGUAACCUUCAGAUUUCCCACACAUUACAGCAAUGCAAAUACACAUAGAAAUCAGUGGUUCUGUUUGUGGUUUAGAGACACAUGGUGCCAUCUUCAUCUUCCGCUCCACAGCUCGCUUCUGGCACCCAGCAGUGCGUUGCAGAGAUCCCCGUGCCAGAACCUUCCUCUUUUUUCUUAAAAACUCUUCUUAAUUGAAUCCAAAGUAUCUUUUAGAUGUUCUACUUGUGUAAUCAUGUCAUCUGUGAAUAUUCAGAUUUAUCUUCUCCCUCCAAUCCGUGUACAUUUAAUCUCUUUUUCUGUGCCUUAUUUCGGGGGCUGGGACCCUUCAGUCCAGUGUUGAAGAGAGGCAGCCAGUGGAGGUCUUGUCUCAUUCAUGGACUCCGAGCAAAUGUGUUCCACAUUUAAUUUCACUAUGAAAUAUAAUAUUUGAUGUUCGGUUUUGUAGAUGCCAUUUAUCAGAUCAAGGAAAGCCCAGUCUAUCCCUAAUUUGUUAAGGGUUUUGCUUUUUAUCAUAAGUGUUGACUUUUAUCAAAUUGUUUCUUGUAUCUAUUAAGAUGAUAGAUGAUUGAUUUUCAUAUGUUAAAUUAACCAUGGGUUAAACAAACUUACCUUUAUCAUGAUAUAUUAUUCUUUUUGUAUUUCACAGGAAUUAGUUUGGUAAUAUGUUGGGUCAAUGUUUAAAAAAGAAAAUGAUGUGUAAUUUUUUUCUUUUAUUGUAGUAUUUCUGUUUAAUUUUUGGUAUGAGGAUUAUUCACGUCUCAUAAGAGUUAGGAGUAUAUUCUCUUUUAAAAAAUAUUUGCUAAUUUACACUCCCACCAACAGUGUAAAAGUGUUCCUAUUUCUCCACAUCCUCUCCAGCAUCUGUUGUUCCCUGAUUGUUUAAUAAUCACCAUUCUAACUGGCAUGAGAUGGUAUCUCAUUGUGGUUUUGAUUUGCAUUUCUCUAAUGACCAGUGAUGAUGAACUUUUUUUCAUAUGUUUGUUGGCUGCAUAAAUGUCUUCUUUUG
rnacentral:sRNA from 1 species